GUUCGAUUAUGGCUCAGAUUGAACGCUGGCGGGAUGCUUUACACAUGCAAGUCGAACGGCAGCACGGACUUCGGUCUGGUGGCGAGUGGCGAACGGGUGAGUAAUGUAUCGGAACGUGCCUGACGGCGAGGAUAACUACGCGAAAGCGUAGCUAACACCGCAUACGCCCUUCGAAGGAAAGCGGGGGACCUUCGGGCCUCGCACUAUUAGAACAGCCGAUAUCGAGAUUUAGCUAGUUGGUGGGGUAACGGCUCACCAAGGCGACGAUCCGUAGCUGGUUUGAGAGGACGACCAGCCACACUGCGAGACUGGCCCCGGGCUCUACGGGAGGCGGCAGUGGGGAAUUUUGGACAAUGGGGGAAACCCUGAUCCAGCCAUCCCGCGUGUGCGAUGAAGGCCUUCGAGACAUAAAGCGCACUGGCAGGAAAGAAACGGCACGGGAUAAUACCCCGUGCAACUGACGAGAAAUCAGUUGCACGGGUGCUCUAUCCCGUGCCGUUUCUUUCACUGCCAAAAAUUAACUUUGGCUCGGGUAGCUUCAUCACACACGCAGGGAUGGCUGGACGGGGUUUCCCCAUUGUCCAAAAUUCCCCACUGCCAUCCGUAGAGUCUCAGUCCCAGUGUCUAGUCUCUGGCUACGGAUCGUCUCUGGUUGCUACAGCUUAUUGCAAUCCGGUAUCGGCCGCUGCGAGGCCCAGAUCCCAGGCGUAUGCAAUGUCCCUUCCACACUUUCGCAUGUGUAGGCACGUUCCAGCACAUUGCCGCGGCUAGCCACUCGCCGCAGACUGAAAUCGCGCCGCAGACGUCCGCCGGCAAUCUGAUUUGUGAUCCAGCCACUCUGUUACUGCUCCGAAUAAUAUG
rnacentral:misc_RNA from 1 species